CGAAGGGUGCAAGCGUUACUCGGAAUUACUGGGCGUAAAGCGUGCGUAGGUGGUGAGUUAAGUCUGUCGUGAAAGCCCCGGGCUCAACCUGGGAAUGGCGAUGGAUACUGGCUCGCUAGAGUGCGGUAGAGGAGAGUGGAAUUCCCGGUGUAGCAGUGAAAUGCGUAGAGAUCGGGAGGAACAUCAGUUGCGAAGGCGGCUCUCUGGACCAGCACUGACACUGAGGCACGAAAGCGUGGGGAGCGAACAGGAUUAGAUACCCUGGUAGUCCACGCCCUAAACGAUGCGAACUGGACGUUGGGAGCAAUCAGGCUCUCAGUGUCGAAGCUAACGCGUUAAGUUCGCCGCCUGGGGAGUACGGUCGCAAGACUG
rnacentral:rRNA from 1 species